UUUGUACAUGGCGAUGGAGUUCGCCUUUUAACCGCCCUCGGGGCUGAUGACUCCUGUCGAGCC
rnacentral:ncRNA from 2 species